AAACAAAAAAACAGAACAUAGAAAUUAAAUAAUGUGCAAACCAAAAAAAACAGAACAUAGAAAUUAAAUAAUGUGCAAACCAAAAAAACAGAACAUAGAAAUUAAAUAAUGUGCAAACCAAAAAAACAGAACAUAGAAAUUAUAUAAUGAGCAAACCAAACCCCACUGAAAACUUGUUGUGAUCUCACGUGCUCAGAAUGGCAAACAAAUCCCACUCCACAUUUAGAACCCAUUAUGUUACUCAUGUAAGGCCAGGAUUUUUUAAUUUAUUGGUUUAUGGAUUUUUCCUGUGAAAAGUCGGGUCGGACGAUGGAAAAAAAAAA
rnacentral:lncRNA from 1 species